rnacentral:rRNA from 1 species
UACGUAGGGUGCGAGCGUUAAUCGGAAUUACUGGGCGUAAAGCGUGCGCAGGCGGUUUUGUAAGCCAGAUGUGAAAUCCCCGGGCUUAACCUGGGAAUGGCAUUUGGGACUGCAAGGCUGGAGUGUGGCAGAGGAGACUGGAAUUCCUGGUGUAGCAGUGAAAUGCGUAGACAUCAGGAGGAAUACCGAUGGCGAAGGCAGGUCUCUGGGCUGACACUGACGCUCAUGCACGAAAGCGUGGGGAGCAAACAGG